ACGCUCGACACCUACGGAGGCAGCAGUGAGGAAUAUUGCACAAUGGGGGAAACCCUGAUGCAGCGACGCCGCGUGGAGGAAGAAGGUCUUCGGAUUGUAAACUCCUGUUGUUGGGGAAAAAGAGGAUGGUACCCAACAAGGAAGUGACGGCUAACUACGUGCCAACAGCCGCGGUAAUCUGAGCGGGCUGGCAAGGC
rnacentral:rRNA from 1 species